GACUGAUAGAAAAGAAGCUUAAGAACAACAUCCGUUGGAAAGGAGUUGACGACUCUCGACCCGGAGAAGUUAGUGAUGAUAUGUCCAUUUUACAGGCAGAUAUCGAUGCUCUCACACUGCAAGAGCGCAAUUUGGAUGAACGAAUAAGGUUAGACACCAGUUGUUAAAAG